rnacentral:piRNA from 1 species
UUGCUCACAAACGGCUCGAGUGAUGGA